GCGCAAGGAAAUUUCGUUGGUUCCCGAAGGUGACAGCCUUUGGGCGAAGAGGGAAUGUGUCGGGCCGGGAUCAUCCUUGCUCCAAACACAGCCGCCCCCGCGACCGUGACCGGAGAGGUCUUCCAACGCCACUGGCGCGCCCCUUGUGGGCAGGCCGGGAAGGCAGGGAGACCGUUCGCGCCCCACUCGGGGCGGAUCUAUCCGCAAGCCGGGAGACCUGCCAACGCGUGAGAACCGGC
rnacentral:ncRNA from 2 species